rnacentral:rRNA from 1 species
GAUGAACGCUGGCGGCGUGCCUAAUACAUGCAAGUCGAGCGAACAGACGAGGAGCUUGCUCCUCUGACGUUAGCGGCGGACGGGAGAGUAACACGUGGAUAACCUACCUAUAAGACUGGGAUAACUUCGGGAAACCGGAGCUAAUACCGGAUAAUAUAUUGAACCGCAUGGUUCAAUAGUGAAAGACGGUUUUGCUGUCACUUAUAGAUGGAUCCGCGCCGCAUUAGCUAGUUGGUAAGGUAACGGCUUACCAAGGCAACGAUGCGUAGCCGACCUGAGAGGGUGAUCGGCCACACUGGAACUGAGACACGGUCCAGACUCCUACGGGAGGCAGCAGUAGGGAAUCUUCCGCAAUGGGCGAGAGCCUGACGGAGCAACGCCGCGUGAGUGAUGAAGGUCUUCGGAUCGUAAAACUCUGUUAUUAGUGAAGAACAAAUGUGUAAGUAACUAUGCACGUCUUGACGGUACCGAAUCAGAAAGCCACGGCUAACUACGUG